GGGGCAACGAGGAAGCUCUUAAGAGCGCGGCCGGAAAGCAGCCCAGACUUGUCGUACCCUAUGGCCUCAAGACUCUGCUCGAGGGAAUUAGCAGAGCUGUUCUCAAAACCAACCCAUCAAACAUCAACCAGUUUGCAGCAGCUUAUUUUCAAGAACUUACUAUGUAUAGAGGGAAUACUACUAUGGAUAUAAAAGAUCUGGUUAAACAAUUUCAUCAGAUUAAAGGUAAGUACCACAAGUAGUAAUAGUUUUAAUAAUGAUGUUUAUUAAUUAUUGCAUCAUGACUAGCAUAUAUUCAAACUUAAGAAUGGUGCCCACAAAUUAUUUUAUGUUUAAUCACAUUGUUCCUUUUUAAAAUAUAUAUAUAUAUAUUUUUAGAGACAUGCUCUGUCACCCAGGCUGGAGUGCAGCGGCGCCGUCAUAGCUCACUGCAGCCUGGGCUCAAGGGAUCCUCCUGUCUUAGCCUCCCAAGUAGCUUGGACUGCAGUUGUAAGUCACCAUGUCCAACUAAUUUUUUAUAAAUUUUUGAUAGUGAUGGGGUCUUGCCUCGUUGCCCAGGCUAGACUUGAACUCCUGGAUGCAAGUGAUCUUCCUGCCACAGCCUCCCACAGUGUUGGGAUUACCGGCAUGAGGAGAAUUGGAUUUCAUAGUUAUAAAGACUCAAAUUAUGAGAUUACUGAGGAAAGUUGUAUAAAUACUUUGUUGGAAGGUUUUUUUUUUUUCCUUUGCAAUGGAGUCUCACUCUGUUGCCCAGGCUGGAGUGCAGUGGCGUGAUCUUGGCUCACUGCAACCUCUGCCUCCCGGGUUCAAACGAUUCUCCUGCCUCAGCCUCCCGAGUAGUUGGGACUCCAGGCGCCCACCAGCAUGCCUGGCUAACUUUUGUAUGUUUAGUAGAGAUGGGGUUUUGCCGUCUUGGCUAGGCUGGUCUCGAACUCCUGACCUCAGGUGAUCUGCCUGCCUCAACCUCCCAAAGUGCUGGGAUUAUACCUAUGAGCCACUGUGCCCAACUGCUGUGUAUGGUUAUUAGUGAGUCUUGAUAUUUUUGGAUUAUCCCAGUGAGAGUGAUGAUGAGCAAGGAAUCAGGAUGGGAAAAGCUCACAUGAGCAGAGAGCUAUAGUAUAUACAUCCAAGCAGAGAAUAAAAUAAAAAUUGGCCACUAGGCCUUAGAUGCUACAGAGUACUAAAAGGAAGGAGAUCUGCCAAUCCUUGAGUGAGAUAAACAGGUAACACUUUCCACAAAAUGGAAACAUUUUAAGCAAUGAAUGCAGCGAUGUCAGAGACCAACACCUAGAGGGCAGGGCGUGAUGGCUCAUGCCUGUAAUUCCAGCCUUUUGGAGGCUGAGGCGGGAGGAGGAUCACUUGAGCCCCGGAGUCCAAGACCAGCCUAGGCAAAAUAGUGAGACCCCCAUCUCUAAACAAAC
rnacentral:lncRNA from 10 species